rnacentral:misc_RNA from 1 species
AACGCAUAUUGCGCCCUCUGGUAUUCCGGAGGGCAUGCCUGUCCGAGCGUCAUUACUACCCUCAAGCACAGCUUGUUUGUUGAGCCCUGUCCCUUAAUGGACAGGCUCGAAAUGCAGUGGCGAUGCCGAGUUUGGUGCCCAAGUGUAUGGAGCUUUGUCACACGCUUUGGUGGCCCAGCCGGCAUUCGCCUUAUAAUAUAUGUAUAUAUAACAAGAUUUGACCUCGGAUCAGGUAGGAAUACCCGCUGAACUUAA